CUCUCUCUCGAUUCUCUCUCGGCCGCCGGCCGAUUCCGGCCGUUGCCGGUGGUCUCCGGCCCCGCCCAGCACUCCCUCGUGUUCUUCUCGAUCCGGCGUAUCUUCCCCCACCAACUCGAUUCGACGCUCGCCUCCUCCUUAUGCGCCCGUGGUUAACCCUAGCCGCCAUUGUGGCAAGCGCACGACGUCGUCAUGGACGCCGGCGCGGCUUCGGCGCCCCUAGUGCUCAUCCUUGACACCUCCUGCCCGCUCUCGCGCGUCACCGAGAUCGUCGGCCUAGAGUCAUGCCCCGACGCACGUGGCUGCCCGCACCAGGCCAUCCGGGCCGCCUACGCCAUUGAGUCCGCCAAGCCGUCCCAGUCCGUCCUCGUCUCUGUCUCUGGUCGGUGACAGCAUGUAGUUGGAGUGGAGGAUCUUGGAUUUGAGUACGUGAGGGAGGAGGAGCAAGACAAAAUUGAUAAGGCAAGAAUUGUUUUCCCCUCAAUUCAGGUUUCUGUUGCACCUCCAAAAUUCUAACUCAGAUAUAAGUGUGUUUAGAUCAGAUUUAAGGGUAUUGUUUAACCUGAACUUUGUGUUGGGCAUUGGUUCCUCAUGAAUUUUACCUACCUCAUCAGUAUCAUGUGAUCUAUUUAUCCAAAUCUAUGCCGUGGUCUCCUAUUUCUCUUCUGCGUGUUGGAAGAACCAAAUUUUGCUCCUGAAAAUGCAAUAUUGGUUUUAAGAAUUGAGAAAUUGAAAGAUUUGUGUGCUAUCAAAGUGCCUCGUUAAGUGAUUUGCUUAAAAUGUGUAAGUUGGCAGCUCUUCAUUCUUUAACUGUCAUAUUUCACUCUUGUUUAAAAGUUGUUAACUGAUAGCAGUGCCUUCUCUAAUGUUGUUUUCCGAGACGCAAGACUCUUAUGCUCAUGAAGAAGAAGCUUGUUCCAUCACUAUCUUGGAAGAUGGGAAGUCUAGGGACUCGUGAAGCACAAAGAGUGACACAUGGAAAUGGCGUGCAACCUACUUACACAUAGAAUAUUUCAAGAGAUUGUUCCUUCAAAUGCUGGAAAUGUUCUUGGUACUGAAGAUAACGUUCUGACAAAGAAGCGGGUAUCACUUAUUGAUCACCAGGUGAUGAAUAUAUUGGUGGGGAUGCAAGAAAUGGACCAUAUUUUUCACCAUUCCCAUAUGGCUAUUGUACUUCAACACCUAUGGAAGAAGAUGAUGAGCAGCCAAAUACUUCUAGUUCCUAUUGUAAAUAAAGCAAAAGAAGUUUUGUGGCAAAGAUGCAGACCGCAAGACCAAACUAAGCCUUCCAUGAGUCUCUCAUUUUUUGAAGCUCUCACAAAGAAGUUAAGGCUUUCGUAGCAUGUUUUGUAGGAAAGUUAUAAUCAUUGAUUAGAAAAGCCUCGAAUGCUCCUCUCACCCUGGUGAAAAAGUUGUGAAUGAUGUUCUAUAGAGAUUUUAAAUUUAAGUGCAUGGUUGUCAAUGAGCUUAAUCCUUUGUAAAUCCAACAAGAUUCUAUUGAUGUAGUUCUAUUAAGUAUAUUCUUUCUUUUUUGACAUCUGGCGCUCAUCUGGGUUGCAUACGAACGUUCAAAACUCUAACGGCAGGAUUUGUGCGCACAGGUUUGCUCAGGAGGC